rnacentral:rRNA from 1 species
GACGAACGCUGGCGGCGUGCUUAACACAUGCCAGUCGUACGGUAAGGCCCUUUCGGGGGUACACGAGUGGCGAACGGGUGAGUAACACGUGAGUAACCUGCCCACAACUUUGGGAUAACGCUAGGAAACUGGUGCUAAUACUGGAUAUGUGCUCCUGCUGCAUGGUGGUGGUUGGAAAGCUCCGGCGGUUGUGGAUGGACUCGCGGCCUAUCAGCUUGUUGGUGGGGUAGUGGCCUACCAAGGCGGCGACGGGUAGCCGGCCUGAGAGGGUGACCGGCCACAUUGGGACUGAGAUACGGCCCAGACUCCUACGGGAGGCAGCAGUGGGGAAUAUUGCACAAUGGGCGCAAGCCUGAUGCAGCAACGCCGCGUGCGGGAUGACGGCCUUCGGGUUGUAAACCGCUUUCAGCAGGGACGAAGCUUUUUGUGGCGGUACCUGCAGAAGAAGCACCGGCUAACUACGUG